UACGGAGGGUGCAAACGUUGCUCGGAAUCAUUGGGCGUAAAGCGCACGUAGCGGCUCAGCAAGUCGGGUGUGAAAGCCCUCGGCUCAACCGAGGAAGUGCAUUCGAAACUACUGAGCUUGAAUACUGGAGAGGAUCGCGGAAUUCCCGGUGUAGAGGUGAAAUUCGUAGAUAUCGGGAGGAACACCAGUGGCGAAGGCGGCGAUCUGGACAGAUAUUGACGCUGAGGUGCGAAAGCGUGGGGAGCAAACAGG
rnacentral:rRNA from 1 species